UACAGAGGUCUCAAGCGUUGUUCGGAUUCAUUGGGCGUAAAGGGUGCGUAGGCGGCGCGGUAAGUCGGGUGUGAAAUCUCGGGGCUUAACUCCGAAACUGCAUUCGAUACUGCCGUGCUUGAGGACUGGAGAGGAGACUGGAAUUUAUGGUGUAGCGGUGAAAUGCGUAGAUAUCGUAAGGAAGACCAGUGGCGAAGGCGGGUCUCUGGACAGUUCCUGACGCUGAGGCACGAAGGUCAGGGGAGCAAACGGG
rnacentral:rRNA from 1 species